rnacentral:rRNA from 1 species
CACGUAGGCACCAAGCGUUGUCCGGAUUUAUUGGGCGUAAAGAGCUCGUAGGCGGUUUGGUAAGUCGGGUGUGAAAACUCUGGGCUCAACCCAGAGAGGCCACUCGAUACUGCCAUGACUUGAGUACGGUAGGGGAGUGGGGAAUUUCUAGUGUAGCGGUGAAAUGCGCAGAUAUUAGAAGGAACACCAGUGGCGAAGGCGCCACUCUGGGCCGUAACUGACGCUGAGGAGCGAAAGCAUGGGUAGCAAA